UACGAAGGGGGCUAGCGUUGCUCGGAAUCACUGGGCGUAAAGGGUGCGUAGGCGGGUCUUUAAGUCAGAGGUGAAAGCCUGGAGCUCAACUCCAGAACUGCCUUUGAUACUGAGGAUCUCGAGUUCGGGAGAGGUGAGUGGAACUGCGAGUGUAGAGGUGAAAUUCGUAGAUAUUCGCAAGAACACCAGUGGCGAAGGCGGCUCACUGGCCCGAUACUGACGCUGAGGUGCGAAAGCGUGGGGAGCAAACAGG
rnacentral:rRNA from 1 species